GACGAACGCUGGCGGCGUGCUUAACACAUGCAAGUCGAGCGGAAAGGCCUCUUUCGGGGGGUACUCGAGUGGCGAACGGGUGAGUAACACGUGAGUAACCUGCCCUUGACUUUGGGAUAACUUCAGGAAACUGGGGCUAAUACCGGAUAGGAGCUCCUGCUGCAUGGUGGGGGUUGGAAAGUUUCGGCGGUUGGGGAUGGACUCGCGGCUUAUCAGCUUGUUGGUGGGGUAGUGGCUUACCAGGGCUUUGACGGGUAGCCGGCCUGAGAGGGUGACCGGCCACAUUGGGACUGAGAUACGGCCCAGACUCCUACGGGAGGCAGCAGUGGGGAAUAUUGCACAAUGGGUGGAAGCCUGAUGCAGCAACGCCGUGUGCGGGAUGACGGCCUUCGGGUUGUAAACCGCUUUCGCUCAUGACGAAGCUUUGUGUGACGGUAGUGGGUAAAGAAGCACCGGCUAACUACGUG
rnacentral:rRNA from 1 species